AUUGAACGCUGGCGGCAGGCCUAACACAUGCAAGUCGAGCGGUUGACGGGAGCUUGCUCCCUGAUUCAGCGGCGGACGGGUGAGUAAUGCCUAGGAAUCUGCCUAUUAGUGGGGGACAACGUUUCGAAAGGAACGCUAAUACCGCAUACGUCCUACGGGAGAAAGCAGGGGACCUUCGGGCCUUGCGCUAAUAGAUGAGCCUAGGUCGUAUUAGCUUGGUGGUGAGGUAAUGGCUCACCAAGGCGACGAUCCGUAACUGGUCUGAGAGGAUGAUCAGUCACACGGGAACUGAAACACGGUCCAGAAUCCUACGGGAGGCAGCAGUGGGGAGUAUUGGGAAAUGGGCGAAAGCCUGAUCCAGCCAUGCCGCUUGUGUGAAGAAGGUCUUCGGAUUGUAAAGCACUUUAAGUUGGGAGGAAGGGUUGUAGAUUAAUACUCUGCAAUUUUGACGUUACCGACAGAAUAAGCACCGGCUAACUCUGUGCCAGCCGCCGCAGUAA
rnacentral:rRNA from 1 species